AAACCAUAAUGAGGACAAAGACGCUACAAAUCCUUGAACCUCUCCCAAGCUUCAUACAAGGGCUUACCAAGAUCUAAUUGGGUGAAACUCACUAUGGCAUGACGCAUAUCUCAGUCU
rnacentral:snoRNA from 1 species